CUUGGCAGUAAUGUUUUAAACCCCACCAAGUUUAAACGCGAGCAGCACAGAGCUGUGGCUGCUUUCAGCGCCAUUCAUUACAGAGCUGAGCGGGUGAGUUGCUUUAUAAAAGUAUAUUUUUUUUAUCUCGUAAUUUUCAGAAAGCAGUUGCCGUCUUCACAACUCGGAGACAAACUGUAGCAGGUGCUACGAACCGGAGCAAGGACUAACCUCGCUUCAUAACGAGGCUGUGACCUAUAUUUGCUCGGAGCUGUCUGCAAGUCCAGAUUUACAUGACGCUGAUAAUGACGCCAUUGUGUCUGCCUGUAAGACAUAUUACCAGACAGCAGCAGGAGC